UGAAGUUCAUGUUAGCCAACCACUCUGUUUAUGUGUCUCUUGAAAGCUACGGGUGAAAUAUUGUGUAUGCAGUGCUUGAAAAUUCAGCCUGUUGGGCCAGGUUGCUCAAUUUCUUCCUGUGGUGGACUAUCGAUAGCAGAGUAAUAUUGCAGUACUUGCAAAUUUUAAAAUGAUAAAAG